rnacentral:rRNA from 1 species
UACAGAGGUCUCAAGCGUUGUUCGGAUUCAUUGGGCGUAAAGGGUGCGUAGGUGGUGCUGUAAGUCAGGUGUGAAAUCUCGGGGCUCAACCCCGAAACUGCACUUGAUACUGCAGUGCUCGAGGACUGGAGAGGAGAUUGGAAUUCAUGGUGUAGCAGUGAAAUGCGUAGAUAUCAUGAGGAAGACCAGUGGCGAAGGCGGAUCUCUGGACAGUUCCUGGCACUGAGGCACGAAGGCCAGGGGAGCAAACGGG